rnacentral:rRNA from 1 species
UACGUAGGGUGCGAGCGUUAAUCGGAAUUACUGGGCGUAAAGUGUGCGCAGGCGGCUUCGCAAGUCGAGUGUGAAAUCCCCGAGCUUAACUUGGGAAUUGCGCUCGAAACUACGGAGCUGGAGUGUGGCAGAGGAAGGUGGAAUUCCACGUGUAGCGGUGAAAUGCGUAGAGAUGCGGAGGAACACCGAUGGCGAAGGCAGCCCCCCUGGGCUAACACUGACGCUCAGGCACGAAAGCGUGGGGAGCAAACAGG